rnacentral:rRNA from 1 species
UACGUAGGGUGCAAGCGUUAAUCGGAAUUACUGGGCGUAAAGUGUGCGCAGGCGGUCGUUCAAGUCGCGUGUGAAAGCCCCCGGCUCAACUGGGGAGGGUCACGCGAUACUGAUCGACUCGAAGGCAGGAGAGGGUAGUGGAAUUCCCGGUGUAGUGGUGAAAUGCGUAGAUAUCGGGAGGAACACCAGUGGCGAAGGCGACUACCUGGCCUGUUCUUGACGCUGAGGCGCGAAAGCUAGGGGAGCAAACGGG